rnacentral:rRNA from 1 species
UACGGGGGGGGCAAGCGUUGUUCGGAAUUACUGGGCGUAAAGGGCUCGUAGGUGGCCAACUAAGUCAGACGUGAAAUCCCUCGGCUUAACCGGGGAACUGCGUCUGAUACUGGAUGGCUUGAGUUUGGGAGAGGGAUGCGGAAUUCCAGGUGUAGCGGUGAAAUGCGUAGAUAUCUGGAGGAACACCGGUGGCGAAGGCGGCAUCCUGGACCAGCACUGACACUGAGGAGCGAAAGCCAGGGGAGCAAACGGG